rnacentral:rRNA from 1 species
CUACGGGAUGCACCAGUGGGGAAUAUUGGACAAUGGGGGAAACCCUGAUCCAGCAAUGCCGCGUGUGUGAAGAAGGCCUGCGGGUUAUAAAGCACUUUCGGUUGGGAGGACUGCUUCUAGCACUAAUAUUGUUGGAAGUUGACGUUACCUUCAGAAGAAGCACCGGCUAACUCCGUGCCAGCAGCCGCGGUAAUACGGAGGGUGCAAGCGUUAAGCGGAAUUACUGGGCGUAAAGCGCGCGUAGGCGGCUAGAUCAGUCGGGUGUGAAAGCCCCGGGCUUAACCUGGGAACUGCAUCCGAUACUGGCUAGCUUGAGUACAGGAGAGGAGAGUGGAAUUCCACAUGUAGCGGUGAAAUGCGUAGAUAUGUGGAGGAACACCAAUGGCGAAGGCAGCUCUCUGGCCUGAUACUGACGCUGAGGUGCGAAAGCGUGGGGAGCAAACAGGGUUAGAUACCCGGGUAGUC